AUUAAUGUUAUUUGUACCUGAAUUUUUCUUUCUGAAAAAAAACCCCCCCAAAACAUACAAGGUACCUUGUUUCAACUAAUUUAUGUCUGACUUUGGAUAUAUUUCGAUUUAAAUGCAUUCAUAAAUACACAACCUCAUAAAUCGUUCAACGAACUGGGUGGUCAUAUUCCGAAGCUAAUGGAACAAAGUGAAACUAGAACCGGUAACUUUAAAGUUGGUGAUUAGAUUGAGAAGAAUGUGAACAACAGUCGAUUACGGAUAUUGUCGCUCGGUGCUGCCGAGUGGUGUUAUGGGAGUAAACUACUCGUGCAGGAAAGAUAUGACGGAAAAUAAGGAAAUUGGGGUUUACCACGAGAGGCAGGUGAAGGAGUUAUGUGCCCUUCACGCAUUAAACAAUCUAUUCCAGGACCAAAAGGCCUUCUGUAAAAAGGAUUUGGAUGACAUCUGUAUCAGGUACUGCUAGUUAAAGCAUGGCAGUUCUUGGCUGCAGGUCUGUAGCAACCAGUAAAAUAUGGUUGACGUGCUGUAGGCAUUUGAUGAACACUGUUGAAACAUGUUCUAUGCAAUGAUUUGUAUCAGUAUGCCAUUUUACAACUUUAGCUUCAUAUUACUCUAAUAUGAAGUCAUUUCAGGAAGGUAUACAUGUAUAUAGCACUAACUUAUAAAGGGUAUAGACACUGUUAAGAUUGUCUCCGGAUCAUUUCAUUAACCCUCACCGCAGCUUAUUGGGACUGGGAAAUUAUGAUGUCAAUGUUUUAAUGGCAGCUGUCCAAACCAAGAGUUGUGAAACCAUAUGGUUUGAUAAAAGAAAAAACAUAAAAUGCCUUCUGCCUGAAAAUAUCCAGGGAUUCAUUCUCAACACACCUUCAGAGUAUAAAUGGGGUUUACUGCACUUUCCUUUCAAGAGGAAACACUGGAUUGCGAUUCGUAGGAUUAAAGACAUUUAUUAUAAUUUGGACUCGAAACUGGACUCCCCAGAAUCCAUUGGGGAUGAGGAGUCCCUGUUUUUGUUUUUACAAAAAGAGCUGGAGAAUGGGGAAAAAGAACUGUUGAUUGUGGUCAGUCAGGAGGUGGAACAGGCAGGAACCUGGAGGAGGAACAGCGACGCCUCGGGGAAUCUGUCGACCAGCAGCGAUCAGCACAGUGCGAACGAAACAGCUACCUCAAACGCUAACCUACAGCCUCUGGACGAUCUCUAAGGACAGCUUGUGUUUAUUGUCUUAGAAAUUUUGAUACCUUUUUUGUUACUUGUUUAGUGGAUUUUACUUUAUAGCCAAUACUUUAUUGUUGUUGUCAAUAUCAAAUAUUACAUGGGAUAUUCCACUGAAUGGCCAACAAGGAAUAAACAUGGAUACU
rnacentral:misc_RNA from 1 species